AUGGUCUCCAGCCAGAAGAUGACGAACAGGAACCAGACCGACGACAGCAGCAGCUCACACACCAUCCUGACACCUACACACACACACCAACAUCUUCAUCAUCAUCCUGACACCUACACACACACACACCAACAUCUUCAUCAUCAUCCUGACACCUACACACACCCACAACACCUUCAUCAUCAUCAUCUUCAUCAUCAUCAUCCUAACACCUACACACACCAACAACAUCUUCAUCAUCAUCAUCAUCAUCAUCACCACCCCAACACCCACACACAACACCAGCAUCAUCAUCAUCAUCAUCAUCAUCCUGACACCUACACCCACCAACAACAUCUUCAUCAUCAUCAUCAUCAUCAUCACCACCCCAACACCCACACACAACACCAGCAUCAUCAUCAUCAUCAUCAUCAUCCUGACACCUACACCCACCAACAACAUCUUCAUCAUCAUCAUCAUCAUCACCACCACCCCAACACCUACACACAACACCAGCAUCAUCAUCAUCAUCAUCAUCAUCCUGACACCUACACCCACCAACAACAUCUUCAUCAUCAUCAUCAUCAUCACCACCACCCCAACACCUACACACAACACCAGCAUCAUCAUCAUCAUCAUCAUCAUCCUAACACCUACACACAACACCAGCAUCUUCAUCAUCAUCAUCAUCAUCCUGACACCUACACACACCAACAACAUCUUCAUCAUCAUCAUCAUCAUCAUCAUCAUCCUAACACCUACACACAACACCAGCAUCUUCAUCAUCAUCAUCAUCCUAACACCUACACACAAAACCAACAUCUUCAUCAUCAUCAGAUCUACACACACAACAUCUUCAUCAUCCCUGUGUCUAAGAACAAUAACUCCUCUUGUCUGAAUGACUAUCGUCCAGUUGUCCUCACAUCAAUAGUCAUGAAGGUCUUCGAGGGACUGGUUAAAAACUACAUUUGCUCCUCCAUCCCGGAUACUUUGGACCCUCUUCAGUUUGCCCUUCAUCGCCCCAACAGAUCCACUGAUGAUGCCAUCUCUCACAUCCUGCACUCUUCUCUCACACACAUUGACAGCAAUAACAGGAACUAUGUAAGGCUGCUAUUCAUCGACUAUAGCUCAGCUUUCAAUACUAUAGUCCCCAUCACGCUAGCUUCUAAACUCACGGACCUCGGCCUGAAUAUGCAACUGGAUUCUUGA
ensembl:lncRNA